AACACUGUUGGAAUAGCUGGCCAGCUGUUGCUGGUUCAUUGAUUGGUUGUAACAACAAUUAUUUGACAUUCAUUGGAGAUGCAACUGCUGAUUCCAACAUAGCUGGUUGAGUCGGCUCCACAUUGUCAAUUAAUGUCUUAUAGAGGCGUAUAACUUGUUCAGCAUUAAGAAAUCGGAAUUUCUUUCCACAGAGGUAGCCAUUCUGAACGAGAAAGAUGGUGGGCGAGGACGAAGAGUUCCAGCUUGGUGGAAUGAUGUAUCUGAUGCUUAGAGCGG
rnacentral:sRNA from 1 species